GGAAGGAUAAGCUGUUAGGCUGUCAUACAGCUGCCAUAUAAUGUUGUGUUUUUCAUUUGUUCUGAAUUUGGGCAAGACUCAGGCUCUGGGAAUCAACACAUACCUGAUACCCAAACUGGCCUCCUUUCCUCCAGCUUGAAAUCUACUCGCAAGCUCUCUAAUGAUGUUUGAGGAGAUAUCCUACAAAUAAGGGAAAUGGAAGAUGGUGAACUGCUAGGCAAAAGAUGCAAAGGAAUGUAGAUCCUAAGUGAUACAUUUCAAAAUGAACAAAUACAAAAACUUGUUACUGGAUCUUCUCAAAAAGAGGAAUAAAGCGUAAGAAAAAGCCAGAGGAGGUAUCUUACGAAGAAGAAAAAUUUUCUUGCUCUUUGGAGGUGAAGGAAAGUGAUAGCCACAGAAGAUCACAUUCCCAGUCCUGAAGUUCAGACAGAAUCGAGGUGCAAUAAAACACUGCGCUGCUACAGGCAGCAAGGAAAGCAUCGGGAGUCUUUAAUCUCUGCUUCAUAUCAGCAAGGAGUGAUUCUGAGCAGCACUGAAAACUGGAAAAUGGGUGAAAUAGCUGCUCUGUGGCAUAGGCACGCUUGUGGGGCUGGACAGCUGACCAACAAGUGUAACAGAAUUUGCUCCAGGAGUGCAGCCUACCUCCUUGUAGUGGGCCUUUGGAACUCAGGAAAAAAGUUUUCAAGACUUGAGGGGUAGAAUAGAUGGUAAUGCUCAAGUCUGUAGCCUCCAGGCACAGUAUUUCUGAAGGUUUAUUGUGUUCUUUUACACGUAUCCUCAUUUCCUGUGGCACAUUUCCAGCCCAACAAACAAGUUAAGGAUCAAACAUUGAGACUCUCAGUAAAAACUGUUUCUGUGGACAGGAGGUGGCUACAUCUCUUGUUAGGAAGUUGGGGUCUUUCCAUGUAAGGGAGAUGCAGUAGAUCUAGCAGAGCUUUGGACAAAUAUGGGAUAACCUGGAAUGCUAUUGCUAAAACAGAGAUCAGAAGAUUCUCCCAGAUUGCAAGAGAAAAAAUGUGAACCGAGCUGUUUACAGAUCGAUGUGGAGAGCUCAUUAUACCGCUGACCUCAUUCUGCUGGAAGGGGAGCUGGCUCAGUCUACAGCCUAGUCUCUUGAAGGUCGGCCACGUGUGCAGUGGUAAUUUAGGAGGUCUCUGCCCCGACUUGUCUUCAUUGCCUCUCUCCCAGAGGGUGGCUGACGCAGAACAAAGCUUUUGGAUUUUACUACGGGGAAGCAUAAGUCAUCAGAAGCUCCUGUAUUAUACAGCUGAUACAUGCUUUUGCAGCCUCUUGAUGGUUUUUCUGAACAGUAGGAAGUGUUCUACAUUAUAGAAACCUCAUUUUUAGGUAGGUGCUGGACAGCAUGGAAUCCUGCAAGAUGGCUCCCAACACUUGUGUGCUUGCAUUGACGGAGCUCUUUGAGCUUUCUUUUCUAAACCAUAACUUCUUUUAGUUCUAUUGUAUUGUAUUGAAAUGCCCUAUUUAAAUGACUAGAAAGUGACUUGUAGGUACAGAUUGUAUAGGUUUCAGUCAACAAGGGUGUUCCAGAAUGACUAUCAUCUAUAACCAAUACAAGUCUUCUCAAUUGCCCUCAGAAUCCAACAGUCAGGAUCGGGUAGCUUUGUUGUAGUGGAACUAUGAAUAUUUUAUUACAUGAAUCAGAUGGUGAAUUUAUCCAGUGAAUAUCAAGAUCAUUUCAAUAACAUCUCAUUUUAGCAUUUGAUCGACUUGUUUAGGUUAAUUUUCUGUGCUAACAGUGUUUACAUAAUACAUAAAUACUCUGAUACCUGUAUUAAUGUAGUGUAUUACCUCCUGAACGCAUUGUAGGCUCUUAAGCACUUAAUCAAAUUCCUUGGGAUUAUCUUCUGCAUCCUCUUUUGUAGGCGGGUUUGUAGACCAGUUUGACCAUUUCUAUCUGGGGAGGGCUGUUUAACCUGAGCACAUAUGGGACUUGUUGUUCUGCUACUACAAAUCCAGUGAAGGUACAUCUCCUUUUAGGAAUGUGAUUCCUGCAUGCUCACAUUUGAAAGUGCAUUAGGUCUUUUUUUUUUUUUAAAGUAGGCAUUCCCUGUGACAUUUUAUCCUUUAUUUAUCCUCUAUUUAUAUCCUUGAUAUAAGUGUUUCGUGUUCUAUUUCAACAGUUAUAUUUCAGUUCAUUUCUGUUCAUUUAUUUACAUGGUUAAAAAGUAAAUUUUUUGCUCUUCUACUUUGUAAACAUUUUUAAAUGCCC
ensembl:lncRNA